rnacentral:rRNA from 1 species
AGGUAACCUACCCUUCAGAGGGGAAUAACUGGGGGAAACUCCAGCUAAUGCCCCAUACGAUCCAACGGCGAUGGCUGUUGGAUGAAAGGAGCGUUUGCUUCGCUGAAGGAGGGGCCUGCGUCCCAUCAGGUAGUUGGUGAGGUAACGGCUCACCAAGCCUACGACGGGUAGCCGACCUGAGAGGGUGGCCGGCCACAAGGGCACUGAGACACGGGCCCUACUCCUACGGGAGGCAGCAGUGGGGAAUUUUGGACAAUGGGCGAAAGCCUGAUCCAGCAACGCCGCGUGGGGGACGAAGCCCUUCGGGGUGUAAACCCCUGUUGUGAGGGACGAAUAAGACCUGGAGGAAAUGUCAGGUCGAUGACGGUACCUCACGAGAAAGCCCCGGCUAACUACGUGCCAGCAGCCGCGGUAAUACGUAGGGGGCGAGCGUUACCCGGAUUCACUGGGCGUAAAGGGGGCGUAGGCGACUUGGUGUGUCGCGUGUGAAAUCCCAUGGCUCAACCACGGAAUUGCGCGCGAAACUACUGAGUUUGGGGCCGGUAGAGGGAGAUGGAACUGCUGGUGUAGGGGUGAAGUCCGUAGAUAUCAGCAGGAACGCCGGUGGGGAAGCCGGUCUCCUGGGCCGUGCCCGACGCUGAGGCCCGAAAGCUAGGGGAGCAAACCGGAUUAGAUACCCGGGUAGUCCUAGCCGUA